AGUGAACGCUGGCGGUAGGCCUAACACAUGCAAGUCGAACGGCAGCACAGUAAUAGCUUGCUCUUACGGGUGGCGAGUGGCGGACGGGUGAGGAAUACAUCGGAAUCUACUUUUUCGUGGGGGAUAACGUAGGGAAACUUACGCUAAUACCGCAUACGACCUACGGGUGAAAGCAGGGGAUCUUCGGACCUUGCGCGAUUGAAUGAGCCGAUGUCGGAUUAGCUAGUUGGCGGGGUAAAGGCCCACCAAGGCGACGAUCCGUAGCUGGUCUGAGAGGAUGAUCAGCCACACUGGAACUGAGACACGGUCCAGACUCCUACGGGAGGCAGCAGUGGGGAAUAUUGGACAAUGGGCGCAAGCCUGAUCCAGCCAUACCGCGUGGGUGAAGAAGGCCUUCGGGUUGUAAGGCCCUUUUGUUGGGAAAGAAAAGCAGCAGGUUAAUACCCCGCUGUUCUGACGGUACCCAAAGAAUAAGCACCGGCUAACUUCGUG
rnacentral:rRNA from 1 species